CGGACGGGUGAGUAACACGUGAGCAAUCUGCCUUUGGGAGGGGGAUAACGUCUGGAAACGGACGCUAAUACCGCAUAAUGUAUGGUUUUCGCAUGGGAAGCAUACCAAAGAUUUAUCGCCCAAAGAUGAGCUCGCGGCUGAUUAGCUAGUUGGCGGGGUAAAGGCCCACCAAGGCGACGAUCAGUAGCCGGACUGAGAGGUUGAACGGCCACAUUGGGACUGAGACACGGCCCAGACUCCUACGGAAGGCAGCAG
rnacentral:rRNA from 1 species